AACGAACGCUGGCGGCAUGCCUAACACAUGCAAGUCGAACGAGACCUUCGGGUCUAGUGGCGCACGGGUGCGUAACGCGUGGGAACCUGCCCUUAGGUUCGGAAUAACUCCCCGAAAGGGGUGCUAAUACCGGAUAAUGUCUUCGGACCAAAGAUUUAUCGCCUUUGGAUGGGCCCGCGUUGGAUUAGCUAGUUGGUAGGGUAAAAGCCUACCAAGGCGCCGAUCCAUACAUGGUCUGAGAGGAUGAUCAGCCACACUGGGACUGAGACACGGCCCAGACUCCUACGGGAGGCAGCAGUGGGGAAUAUUGGACAAUGGGCGAAAGCCUGAUCCAGCAAUGCCGCGUGAGUGAUGAAGGCAUUAGGGUUGUAAAGCUCUUUUACCCGGGAUGAUAAUGACAGUACCGGGAGAAUAAGCUCCGGCUAACUCCGUG
rnacentral:rRNA from 1 species